AGGACUGGCCUUGGAACCUGUCACUGAAGCCUCUGGGGCCAGAUCCCGUCUGGAUCUGGGGGGUGGGAGGUUUGGCGCGAACACACUUUGCAGGAGAAAAGUCUGCUCCCCUGGGAGUCCUGGGCUGGCUCCAGGACCACGGGCAGAAGCUCCUUCGGAUCUUCACAGCAAGGUGGGACCCAAGGGUUGAAGGGACGGUGGCUUCCAGCAGUCAAGGCUGGCGUGCAGGACAGGUCUCACAAGCCCUGAUUUGCAAGUGAGGAGAAACCAGCAGGAGAUGAGGCCACAGGCUCAAGGUCACCCAACUGCCAGACCCCUGCAGGCGCUCAGGCCACUGAGGUGCUAAGUGCUCUUGCAGAUGGUGGUCGCUGACAGCCCUGUGCUUAGCAUUCUGUCGGCAGGUUUGCACAUCGCACCCUCUCAAGUUCCCUGUUUCUCCCCCGUAGCCUUCCUCUGUCCCUAUUUGCUCCGUUCCUUUCCAGUUCUCUCCGGCUCUGCAUCUGCUUCUCCCACUUUCUGUGUCCCCCGCCCCCACUUCACCCCUGCCCCUCUCAGUCUUGCCUCCAGCUUCUCAUCUGGGGCCAUCCUCAGGAAUCUGGACGGUCAGAGAUCCCUGGAGACCGACAGAUGUCCAGCUAUCCCUCACUGUCCCUCUGCCCUGUGGCUGUGGCAGGAAGGGUGGGCAAAGGGCAGAGGGUGGAGGCCACGGUGGCCCAACCUGGAACUGGGGCCCAGCUCUGGUUGGGAAAGAAAGGAGGAAACAAGGAACUUGGGGCCAGAGGGUGUGGGGUGUCAGGGCGGGCAAAGGCUGCCCAGGAGCUAUAAAUCGGGGCCACUCCCGGCUUUAUGAGCAGAGCUGGGGCUGAGACAGGACUUCGCCCAGAAAAGAAGGGCUGGCAUCAGACUCCAGGCGUGGGCCCCGGAUGAUAAGGAGCCUCAAUAAAAAGACCACGGACCUGGGGCCAUGAGGACCCAAGAGGCCCACAUGGGUGGGCACGGGUCCUCCCCGGACUUCUGCCCAAGGGGGAGACACCAGACAGGCAAGGUCCAGGCCUCCAGUUGGUUCCCACCCUCUGUAACAGCAACUCCAUGUGGAAGUGCCCACUGGUUCCAGUGGGGCUGCUGUUAUCGGGGAUGGGGACCAGUACCCACGGAGGAGGAAGAGCACGCCAGCAGGGACCUCCACGGCUGCGCUCCCAGGCCCAGGAUGGCAAAGGGCAGUGGGCUGUCGGCAGGCUGCCGAGACCGAGUGCACAGGGCUCUGACCUAUGAAUUGACAGCCAGUGUUCCCAUCUCCCCUCUGGCUGCCAAUUCCAUAGGUCACAGGUAUGUUCGCCUCAAUGUCAGCCGCCGGGACCUGCAGUGCAGGGAGGGGAAGGGGUGGGGCGAGGGGUGUCCAGAGGGCAGGGAAGACUUGCUACCCCAGGGCAGCCCUCAGGUCCAACUCCUUCCUGUUUCGUUCCUACCUUUCCAUGUCCCCUCCCGUGAGCUUGCCCUGCUUUAGGUCCCUGCCUGUACUGACCGCUUGUGGCAUGCCUGAGUGCUUUGCCCAUGCUUUUCCCUCUGCCUGGAACACUUUUCCCUGCUUUUUUUGUGCCAGGUUCACCCUUACUAACUGUUCCAAGCUCUGCCCAAGCAUUGGCUGCCUACAGGAAGCCUUCCUGAAACCCACUUGAUCCCCAGUGCCCUCCUGGGCACCCCCAGCAACCUGUGCUUCCCCAGAGAACUGUACUCCCCCCCCCCCCCCGCCCCCGGUGUUCCCAUCCUCCCCACCACCUGUGAGCUCAGCUCCCGGCACCCAGCCCCGUGUGCUCGGUGGAUGUCCAAACAGAUCCUAAGCCUUCGUCUUGCACCCCAAGGAAGCACCACCAAUGUCCCAUGUGGCCAAGAGGGGCCGAGGGCUCCGGGCCCCAGUCUGUGUCAGAGCCUCUCCAGGACGAGGACCCCCCCGAACCGCCUCCCCUCCACUGGCCUGCUCUCUCCUCUCUCCCUGCAGCACAGCCCGGACUUGCCUGCCCAGCUGAGGUGGCCGUGGAGGAAGGCGACCGUGUGAGGGCAGGACCUGGCGGAGGUCUCCGCAACAGCCUCGCUCCUGCUUGGCUUUCAUACGAUGCCGAUGCCGAUGCCGAUGCGAUGCCCGUUCCGGAGACAUUCGCAUUUGAAUUAAAAGCCUUCUGCUGCUAAAAGAUAAGCUUUUCGAAAUUGGAAACAGAGACCUAAGAAUAAAGUUCAAAUUGCUCAACGAUAGGAGCCGGCUCUGGAGCCCUUUCUGUGUGCCGGGCCCUGGCAUGCAUCGGUCACCUGGGAUCAACUCAACGACCUUGUGAAGCGACUAUCAUGGACCUGUUCGGGAGAUGACGACUCGGGGCUCGCAGAGGGGGGAGCAUCUUGCUAAAGUGAGAGUAGUUGAACCUUCUCUCUCCGAGGACCAGGCAGCUGGCAAGCAUCCAGCCACCCUCUCUGGCCCCUAUGACUCUUAUCCCGGUGGGGCUUCUUUGCUGCCCCAUCGGCUCCAGAUCCCUGGGCCACCACCUUUACCGAGCUGGGCUCAGAUGUCCCUCCCGCUACCUCCCCUCACUACCUCCCACCGCUCCCCCCACCCACCACACCUUGGGCCCCUGGGCCUCUCCCUGCUCCCUCUUAUCUUAUCCCUUCAGGGCUGAGAGCUCCAUGCUCUUAACACCCUGGGCUCCAGACUCCUGGAGGGCAAAGUCCAUGAUUCACUCAUCCUGCCUGGCCCCUGACCCCACCCCAGCAUGGCAGGUGUUCCAGAAACCCUGGCCCUCUUGGGGGCUGUCAGGCCCCGGGCUCAGAGUGCUGGCUUAGGGUGGGUGGGUGGAAGGGCGUCCACUUCCAUCUGCCUCUACAGAGCCUCUGGCAGCUCCAGAAGAUCAUAUCCCAGCUCCAGAGCAAGGCCCACCCAGCUGCCUCUGACCAGCUCGUUUCUCUUCACUGCCCCAGGGCCGUUUCCAGAGAGGCCCCCGGGGCCGUAUGCUCCUUGCCUAGCCUGGAUCCUGCCCCCACUUUCUUUUAAGACCUCCGGGACACCUGCUGCUUGGUCCUUUCCCCCCACUCAGUGGCUCCCGUGACGUGACCGCUCUUAGAGUCCCCAUCACCAAUGCCUGGCUAUUCCCCGCCCAACUUGCGAACCCCUGGCCGCAGCAGCCACUGACUUUUUGUUUCCUGUAGCCUCGGAGACUGGUGCCGAGUAGCUGCUUAAUAAAUGCCAGCUGAAGCACCGACCACACGACCACGCGUGUGAAUGAAGAGGCCUGUGGGGAGCAGGCGGCAGACGCAGGCGGGUGCAAGGCCCUCAGUGAGUUCCGGCUGUCGUCUCCAUCACCAUCACCAUCACCAUUGCCGCAGUGGACCCGGCUGCUGGGUUCGUCUGUGUCCGCGUGGUUGCUGGAGCCAUAGUGUGUUUCCAUCCGUUCGCUGCUGUGCCGCAUUCCGCUGUAUGAAUAGAAAAGCUGGGUUAUCCUUCUUACUAUAAACGGACUUAGUACUGCUGGGUCACGCAUGGGGCAGCAAAUACAACGCUGGACCAGGCUGCACAGUGGUCUGAAGGAGGAGCGCCUGGUUACAGGCGGGUUUUUUUGGUUCGUUGUUGACAAUUAUGAAACCUUCAGAAAAAAGGUGCGAGAAAAGCACAAUGAACACCCUUACACCCUUCGCCCGGAUUCACCGACACUUAACAUUUUGCCACGUUUGCUUUCUCUUUCUCUUUCUCUCGCACGCGUGAAUGUUUUCGGAACCAUUUGAGAGUAGGUUACGUACGUUAUGACCCUUCACCCUUAAAUAUUUCAACACGUACCCCCCCCCCCAUGACAUCUCUUUACACAACCACAGUACGGUUACCAAAUUGAGGCCCGGUGACAAUGACGCAAUACUGUGAUCGUACGUGUCAUCCCCUUUCAAAUGUCUCCCGUUGUCCCAAUCAACGGGGAUCACACCUCACCUGUGGUCGCCUGGUCCCUUCAGCUUUCUUUAGUCUGCAGUUGUCUUCGACCUGUGAUCAGGUCGUGAUCCAUGGGUUCAAGCCCCAUGUUGAGCUCUGUGCUGACAACUUUGGUUUUCAAGACCUUGACAUUUUUGAAGAGGACAGGCCAGUUGUUUUGUAGUAUGCCCCCUCGGGUUUUUUCCCCCCACUUGCCCCCAGUUAAGAAAAUCAAAGGGGGCGCCUGGGUGGCUCGGUUGGUUGAGCGUCCGACUUCGGCUCAGAUCACGAUCUCACAGUUUGUGGGUUCGAGCCCCGCAUCAGGCUCUGUGCUGACCGCUUGCUCAGAGCCUGGAGCCUGCUUCAGAUUCUGUGUCUCCUUCUCUCUCUGCCCCUCCCCCGCUCACACUUUGUCUCUCUGUUUCUCAAAAAUAAAUAAAUGUAAAAACAAAAAUUAAAAAAAAAGAAAAUCAAA